UGAACGCUAGCUACAGGCUUAACACAUGCAAGUCGAGGGGCAGCGGGAUUGAAGCUUGCUUCAAUUGCCGGCGACCGGCGCACGGGUGAGUAACGCGUAUCCAACCUUCCGUACACUCAGGGAUAGCCUUUCGAAAGAAAGAUUAAUACCUGAUGGUAUGAUGAGAUUGCAUGAUAGCAUCAUUAAAGAUUUAUCGGUGUACGAUGGGGAUGCGUUCCAUUAGGUAGUAGGCGGGGUAACGGCCCACCUAGCCAACGAUGGAUAGGGGUUCUGAGAGGAAGGUCCCCCACAUUGGAACUGAGACACGGUCCAAACUCCUACGGGAGGCAGCAGUGAGGAAUAUUGGUCAAUGGACGAGAGUCUGAACCAGCCAAGUAGCGUGAAGGAUGAAGGUCCUACGGAUUGUAAACUUCUUUUAUAAGGGAAUAAACCCUCCCACGUGUGGGAGCUUGUAUGUACCUUAUGAAUAAGCAUCGGCUAACUCCGUGCCAGCAGCCGCGGUAAUACGGAGGAUGCGAGCGUUAUCCGGAUUUAUUGGGUUUAAAGGGAGCGCAGACGGGUCGUUAAGUCAGCUGUGAAAGUUUGGGGCUCAACCUUAAAAUUGCAGUUGAUACUGGCGUCCUUGAGUGCGGUUGAGGUGUGCGGAAUUCGUGGUGUAGCGGUGAAAUGCUUAGAUAUCACGAAGAACUCCGAUUGCGAAGGCAGCACACUAAUCCGUAACUGACGUUCAUGCUCGAAAGUGUGGGUAUCAAACAGGAUUAGAUACCCUGGUAGUCCACACGGUAAACGAUGGAUACUCGCUGUUGGCGAUAUACUGUCAGCGGCUUAGCGAAAGCGUUAAGUAUCCCACCCUGGGGAGUACGCCGGCAACGGUGAAACUUCAAAGGAAUUGACGG
rnacentral:rRNA from 1 species